GGUGCUUCCUGUGUCAGUGUGGAUUGGCUGAGAUCAUCAAGCUUGAUGAUCUCAGCCAUAGAGGCAGGGCCAGUCGAGGGGAGACCAGCACGACGUGGGAGGGGAAAAGGUCACAGACAGACCGUGACACAGACACACACACACACACCGUGACACAGACAGAAACACAGACACACCAUGACAAAGACAUACACACACCAUGACAGAGACACACACAUACCAUGACAGAAAAACACCA